rnacentral:lncRNA from 1 species
CUGCUUCUAAUAAUCCUUUGAGAAAUCAAUUGGAUUGGGUCAUCAAUGUACUUCCAUUACCGGUUCUGAGAAUCUGGUAUUUGAAAGCCCGGUGUUUGUCUUGUAAUAUGUCAGAAUGAUCUGUCUCAACUAAAUGUCAAUCUGAUUUGUCUUGGAGUAGAAUAAUUAAAAAGGUUACGGGACACUUGAUUAUUUAAACUAAGUUUAAAUUAUAAAGAAAAUAAAUUUAAAAAUAAGUUUUUAAAAAAAAUAAAAGAAAAUAAAGUAUAAAAUAAACUUAGUUAAAUCUAUAAAGUAAAUUUAAUUAUAUUUAAAAAAUAAAUUCAAAUAAAUUCA